rnacentral:misc_RNA from 1 species
GUGAAUCAUCAAAUCUUUGAACGCAUAUUGCACUCUCUGGUAUUCCGGAGAGCAUGCCUAUUUGAGAAUCAGUUAAAAUAAUAUAAAUUCCAAGAUUGCUCGGUAUGUAAAAUGGGUUGUUUAUUAUUUGUGGUCGCCUAAAAUGAAAUACAACCUCAUUUUGUUGGAUCAGGUGUUGCUUUCAGUUAUC